rnacentral:rRNA from 1 species
GACGAACGCUGGCGGCGUGCUUAACACAUGCAAGUCGAACGGGAGUAUUGAAGAAGCUUGCUUUAGAGAUACUUUAGUGGCGGACGGGUGAGUAACGCGUGAGGAGCUGUCCUAUGCAGGGGGACAACAGCUGGAAACGGCUGCUAAUACCCCAUAAGCCGAGAGGUAAAAGGAUCAAUCCGGCAGAGGAGGUACUCGCGUCCUAUCAGCUAGUAGGUGAGGUAACGGCUCACCUAGGCGAAGACGGGUAGCCGGCCUGAGAGGGCGAACGGCCACACUGGAACUGAGAUACGGUCCAGACUCCUACGGGAGGCAGCAGUGGGGAAUAUUGGGCAAUGGGGGAAACCCUGACCCAGCGACGCCGCGUGGGUGAAGAAAUCCUUCGGGAUGUAAAGCCCUGUUGUAUGGGAAGAGCGGAAAGACGGUACCAUACGAGGAAAGCCCCGGCAAACUACGUGCCAGCAGCCGCGGUAAUCAACGAGAGUA